GACGAACGCUGGCGGUGUGCUUAACACAUGCAAGUCGAACGGUAAGGCCCUUUCGGGGGUACACGAGUGGCGAACGGGUGAGUAACACGUGAGUAACCUGCCCUCAUCUCUGGGAUAACAGUCGGAAACGGUUGCUAAUACUGGAUAUGAGCUUGCAAGGCAUCUUGUGGGUUGGAAAGAUUUUUUUUGGUUGGGGAUGGACUCGCGGCCUAUCAGCUUGUUGGUGAGGUAGUGGCUCACCAAGGCUUCGACGGGUAGCCGGCCUGAGAGGGCGACCGGCCACAUUAGGACUGAGAUACGGCCCAAACUCCUACGGGAGGCAGCAGUGGGGAAUAUUGCACAAUGGACGGAAGUCUGAUGCAGCAACGCCGCGUGCGGGAUGACGGCCUUCGGGUUGUAAACCGCUUUCAAUUGUGACGAAGCUUUUUUGUGACGGUAGCAGUAGAAGAAGCACCGGCUAACUACGUG
rnacentral:rRNA from 1 species